AAUUGUUCGACUGUUGUCAAUAAGGUCAUCUCCGACCGACGUGUAGAAAAACACACGUAGUUGAGUUACUAUAGGCCCAGCUCAAUAACCCCACAUGUAGGCCCAGCUCGUAUUCAGCCCAAGAGAAAAAAGGAUACUUGUUUCUGAUAACUUGAGAGACGAAGUGAGGAGCUCUCCCUCUACGGUCUGCAGCUUGAGGUGGAGCUCAGGCAGAGCGGCAAUGGUGGUUUCAUCUCCUUCGAUUCUCUCUCCAUUCCGAAUGAAUGUAACAGCUACGGAAUUUGGCUGGCCUUCUACCACUCCUCCUCGCAUCAAUUUCUGCAAACAAUCGACCACAAUCGCCCGUCGUCGUCCACGCUUCCGAAUCGGAGAAGGAAUCGUGGAGUGCGUCCGUUGAUGGAGCAGUACGGUUUCAACCCCGACGAGGCCUUAUCUCCUGAGCCCUUUCCAAACGGGAAGAGGAAGAAAAAGCUAAAAGAGUCUGGACGGGACAUGCAAAUUACACCAAGGGAGCCCAAGGCCCCACGAACUACCCAUAAGUUGCUUACUGUAUACAAUAUCUCCAAAUUUUGUGUCUUUUCUUAUUAGUUUUUAAUGCAAGUUAAGAACACAUUUAGCUGCUACUUGUUGAUUAGCGAAAUGGCGGUAUACAAUAACAUGUUUGUCAGUUGGAAAAUAGUGAAAUACUGAUUUAUUAAGAUUUCUCGAGUAUGAGGUUGCAGCCAAUGUAGGUUCUUGGAGGAAAGGCUCGGAGAAUGAAGUUGCUAUCUCCAAAGGGUAUGGAUGUGCGCCCGUUGAUGGAGGUCGAGAAAGGUGCAGCCUUUGAUAUCCUGCAGGCUGCUGGGGGUUGUCCUGCAUCUUUAAGGCCUGGCCGUUGGUUAGACUUGUACAGUGGUACUGGAUCGGUUGGAAUUGAAGCUCUUAGCCGAGGGUACUCUCUGAGGUACAUUUUGUUGAGAUGGAUCCAUGGGUCAUUUCAGAUGUUUUACGUCCAAAUUUGGAAUGGACUGGGUUUCUUGAUGUGUCAGUUAUACAUACUGUUCGUGUUGAAAAAUUCAUGUAACGUGCACAGAAACUUGCAGGUAAAGAACCAUUUGAUUACAUUAGUGUUACCCCUCCGUAUAUGGAAGUUGACUAUGCAGUGCUGAUGGAUCAAAUAUCAAGUUCGGACCUAGUUGGAGAAGAUACCUUCAUAGUAGUUGAGUACCCACUAAGGACUGACAUGCUGGAUUCAUUUGGAUGCCUUGUGAAGGUAAUGGACACUAUCAGCAGUUUUACUAUGGAUAAAGCAUUAUGAAAUGUGAGAUAAUGAUAGCUAUCCUAACCAGUGACCACAUAACUAUAUUAGUUGUUUCAUUGGCAGUAUAUAUGAGUUGUGUUUUCGACAUGGUCCCAUAGGUGUAACAUAUUAUGUAUAUGUCCAUAGUGUUACAUCUCUCUGAUUGUUGGACCUAAAUAUUGCAGCUGCAGGUUAAAGACUUAUCUGAUAAAUUAGAGUUUCCUGGAUGAUCAACUAAUGUUAAAAAUGAGUUAAACUUUUUUAUGUUAAAUCUGAGUUUUGUCAAGAAAGUAAGAAAUCUGAAACUAAUUUUUUGUAUAUAUUUCUUUCAUUGGAAAGUUAACUGUUUAGGUGUAUUCCUAAGUAUUUAUCUUCUCCCAUAUCUGAGUUGCUCAAAUUAUUAGGUCUUAUAGCCAACUUAUCAUUUGGUUUUGCUUCAAAUAAUGACACCAAAAUUGCUCGAUAUCAAUACCUGCUAUAUAUGUGAAUUCUUUUCUUAUGAAUACAAGAUAUAUAUGUGCUACAUGGUCUAUCUCUUGAUCUUCCAAUGCUAAAGUUAUAAACUUAUUUUAUAACUAUAUAAAAAGUUGUUUCCUUUUAAAUUUUGAAUGCAAGAUGUAUGUAUUUAUGUUCUACAUAGCCUAUCUACUUAUACUAUUGUCUUGUUGAUUUGUAGCAAAACAUUUCCUUUAGAAUUUCCUUAAAAAUUGGUAUCCUUUAUUUUCUUUUGAAUCCUUGCUGAUAUGAUGUUGGCAUUAUUUUAUUCAUAUUGGUGUGUGGUCUUACUCCAUUCAAGGGCGGCAAUGGAGGUCUAGAAGAGCGCAUUGCAUCUUAGUAUAAAAUUGGUUGACCCCACUAAGUGAUUUAUGCUUCUAAGAUCUAAGGUGAAGCAAAUACUUUUGACUGAAUCUCUUGGUUUUACUGGGCCCUUGAAAGCACAUUAUAUGUUCACCUAAUAGAGGUGGCAGUAUCUAAAAGUACAAAUUUCAUAAAGAGAGGUGAAUUUUGAUCAAAUGACAAACGGUGGCCCUUAAUAAAUACUUUGAGUUUCGUAAUUGCAAGUUUGAUUUUCUGUUUCUCUGAAAGCACAAAGAAGUUGCAUAUGGAGUGGGGGAAAACUAGUAGAUUCAAUAAGGCAUUAUAUCAGACAUGCAGGGUACACUUGUUUUGGACAGAAUACUAACUUUGAACUAGGUUCAUGCCUUCAUUGUGGGAUGAGGAGGGUUGGAUUUAUUGUGACGUGUUAAUCUCAUAUGUAUGUCAGAUUGAUUAGUUCACUCACACUCACAUGGAUACUGUGCAUCACAAAGAACUAACAUUUUCUGACUGGAUAUAUUUGCAGAAUUGGAUAGACAAAUAUCUCAAAUUCAAGUCAAGUUCAGUAUUUAAAUAAUAUUGGAUAGGUACCUUUCUGGUAGCAUUUCUUUAUCUGUCACUUAAUAAUCGUCUCUCGGGCGAGCUUUUGUACACAUCAGUUUCUGUAAGUAGUGACCAUGGAUAAAGUUCAAUCAUGUGGUAUCAUCGUCAGAUUUCGUAAAACACCACUAGUUUUUUUUCAGGUUUCAAUGUUUCUGAUUCCUCAAUUAACUGUCACUCUCAGGUUGUAUUCUUAAAAUGCUAGGGUUGUUGCUGACAUUGAUGAGUCUGAUGGGAAAUUCCCUAUUAUACCCUUCUCAUGUUAUGAUUAAUAAGAAAGUAGAUUUUGGAAAUUUACUUGUGUGUUUGCUUCUCCAGUUUGUAUCUUUGUUAUGUAUUACUGAAUUUAGUAGAGUAAUUAUGUGCUCACAUAUCUUUAUUCAACUCUUGUUACUCUACAGGCUUUUAAAUUUUGCACAUCCGCAUGCAUGUGAAUAAAACUAGUUCAGUCUGUUACGAGAUCAUCCUUACUUGAAGACGCUUGAGGAGUAGGUAGAGUAAGCUUUUGUGAUACAUUGUAUAUCAUAUAUUCAUGUGACUGACUGAUGUUGAGUAGUGUUGCAACUGACUAGGGGACAGAAAAACCUUAUGGUCCUGUAAUGAAUUGAUUGCAUCAAAGUAAUUACAUAAUUGAUAGCUUAAUUCAUAGUUCUAAAGCA